AGAGUUUGAUCCUGGCUCAGGACGAACGCUGGCGGCGUGCCUAAUACAUGCAAGUCGAGCGCAGGAAGCUCACGGAACUCUUCGGAGGGAAGUGAAGGGAAUGAGCGGCGGACGGGUGAGUAACACGUAAGGAACCUGCCCCAAGGAUUGGGAUAACUCCGAGAAAUCGGAGCUAAUACCGAAUAGUUCUUCAGACCGCAUGGUCUGAUGAUGAAAGGCGCUCCGGCGUCACCUUGGGAUGGCCUUGCGGUGCAUUAGCUAGUUGGUGGGGUAAUGGCCCACCAAGGCGACGAUGCAUAGCCGACCUGAGAGGGUGAUCGGCCACACUGGGACUGAGACACGGCCCAGACUCCUACGGGAGGCAGCAGUAGGGAAUCUUCCACAAUGGACGAAAGUCUGAUGGAGCAACGCCGCGUGAGUGAUGAAGGUUUUCGGAUCGUAAAACUCUGUUGUAAGGGAAGAACAAGUACGAGAGGUAAUGCUCGUACCUUGACGGUA
rnacentral:rRNA from 1 species